UUACAGCUUGCCCGGCUGGCAAUCCUACGCUGCAGAAAGAAGGAUGCAAAAAUGGGUUUAAUUGCGGGAGAAGACAACAGAACUCAUCUGCCUGCCCGGAAGGUUUCUUCUGCCCGGUUGGCAAUAGCUCCCCCAUUCCGUGCCCAGAAGGCACUUUCCGUUCUGCGGGAUUGUCUUCCUCUCUCACCUGCCUGGCCUGUCCGGUGAAUUUCUUCAGUGCUAAAAUGGGCCAGGUCGCUUGCUUGCCGUGUGGCUCGGAGGCCGUGCAACCCAAAGAGGGCCAAAAUACCUGCGUGUGCCUUCGGCAAGGCCGCAUUUUUCAGCCCAGCGAUGCUCAAUGCCCCUGUGCUCCCGGGUAUCGGAGCCUCCGAGAAGACAGGCGGUGGGAUUGCGUCAAAGAAACCUAUGAUAUUUGUAGGGAUGAUACUGUCCGGAACCAAAAUGGCCAGUGCUUAAC